CCUACGGGAGGCAGCAGUGGGGAAUAUUGCACAAUGGGGGAAACCCUGAUGCAGCGACGCCGCGUGAGUGAAGAAGGAAUUCGUUAUGUAAAGCUCUAUCAGCAGGGAAGAAAAUGACGGUAUCUGAGUAAAAAGCCCCGGCUAACUACGUGCCAGCAGCCGCGGUAAUACGUAGGGGGCAAGCGUUAUCCGGAUUUACAGGGUGUAAAGGGAGCGUAGACGGCAGUGCAAGUAUGGAGUGAAAGGCGGGGGCUCAACCCCCGGAAUGCUCUGGAAACUGUACUGCUUGAGUGCAGGAGAGGCAAGCGGAAUUCCGUGUGUAGCGGUGAAAUGCGUAGAUAUUAGGAGGAACACCAGUGGCGAAGGCGGCUUACUGGACUGUAACUGACGUUGAGGCGCGAAAGCGUGGGGAGCAAACAGGAUUAGAUACCCUUGUAGUC
rnacentral:rRNA from 1 species